AUGCUGGGGAUCCUCUGCAGUCUUGUCACUGCUCUAACAUAUGUUGAUGCAGCGAUAACACUGACCCAGAUACCUCCUACUGAGACCGUCUCAACAGGACAACAAGUUGUUUUAAAAUGCAACAUUCAGAGAGACGAUCAAAACUUAGUCAGAUGGUUUAAACAAGUUCCUGGUGGAGUUCCUCAAUAUGUUCUGAGUUUUCGCCACUCCGAUAGUGCACUCCGCUUUGGAACAGGAUUCUCUUCAAACCGAUUCAACUCUAAAUCCACCUCAAGUAUAGAUUUUCAGUUUAUUAUUAAGCAGGCAGAGGCAGGAGACUCUGCUCUUUAUUUCUGUCAGACAUGGGAUGACUCUGCAAUCACUGUGGUAUUCGGCCAAGGAACCAAGCUGAUUGUAACAGACUCCAGUCUCCCUCCUCCUGUCCUGACUGUCUUCCCUCCAUCCAGUGCUGAGCUACAGACCAACAAAGCCACUCUGCUCUGUCUGUCCAGUCAGUCUGGGCCUUUUGCAGAUGUGAGCUGGUUGGUUGGUGGGAGUCCAGUGACCAGUGGGAUCUCUACCAGCACUGCUGUUCAGAGACCAGACCAGACUUUCCACAUCAGCAGUUCUCUGUCCAUCCAGACAUCAGACUGGAACAUGAAUAAGGUUUAUACCUGUAAAGUGUCUUUGGGCUCCCAGACUGCAGAGAAAACCAUCAACAAGUCAGGAUGUCCUGCUGAAGAACAGUAGAGGACCACAAUCAUCUAUAAUCUGCUUCUUUAUUGUUUUGCUUCU